rnacentral:rRNA from 1 species
AUUGAACGCUGGCGGCAGGCUUAACACAUGCAAGUCGAGCGGAGAGAGGUAGCUUGCUACUGACCUUAGCGGCGGACGGGUGAGUAAUGCUUAGGAAUCUGCCUAUUAGUGGGGGACAACAUUCCGAAAGGAAUGCUAAUACCGCAUACGCCCUACGGGGGAAAGCAGGGGAUCAUUAGACCUUGCGCUAAUAGAUGAGCCUAAGUCGGAUUAGCUAGUUGGUGGGGUAAAGGCCUACCAAGGCGACGAUCUGUAGCGGGUCUGAGAGGAUGAUCCGCCACACUGGGACUGAGACACGGCCCAGACUCCUACGGAGGCAGCAGUGGGGAAUAUUGGACAAUGGGGGGGAACCCUGAUCCAGCCAUGCCGCGUGUGUGAAGAAGGCCUUUGGUUGUAAAGCUACUGUUGGGAGGGACGAAGGGGGAAACCCUGACGGUACCUCGCAAGAAAGCACCGGCUAACUCUGUGACCAGCAGCCGCGGU